AACGAACGCUGGCGGCAUGCCUAACACAUGCAAGUCGAACGGCAGCACGGGAGCAAUCCUGGUGGCGAGUGGCGAACGGGUGAGUAAUAUAUCGGAACGUGCCCGGUCGUGGGGGAUAACGUAGCGAAAGCUACGCUAAUACCGCAUACGAUCUACGGAUGAAAGCGGGGGAUCGCAAGACCUCGCGCGAUUGGAGCGGCCGAUAUCAGAUUAGGUAGUUGGUGAGGUAAAGGCUCACCAAGCCGACGAUCUGUAGCUGGUCUGAGAGGACGACCAGCCACACUGGGACUGAGACACGGCCCAGACUCCUACGGGAGGCAGCAGUGGGGGAAUUUUGGACAAUGGGCGCAAGCCUGAUCCAGCAAUGCCGCGUGCAGGAUGACGGUCCUAUGGAUUGUAAACUGCUUUGUACAGGAAGAAACACUACUUCGUGAAGUAGCUUGACGGUACUGUAAGAAUAAGGAAUCGGCUAACUCCGUGCCAG
rnacentral:rRNA from 1 species